CGUCGUGUCUCAGAAGUAUCGAUUCUUACAUAAAAAUAUAAUAUCUCCAUGGUUGCAAAAGAGAAUAAGAUUUUGACAAUACCAAAGAAUGACAUAAAAUUUUAAAACAAAUACGUAUAAAUAAUACAUUAUGUUUGGUAUAUUCACAAACGUCCUUUGGUAUUUGGAAUUCGUUGCGUUCGCUAUCACAUUAAUUGGAUUUUUCUGUUUCAUUUUGUAUUUAGCUAAAAUUAAUUACACUACAUACAACAUACGAUAUGAUUUUCGUCUCAAACAUAUGGCCGACGACACAUGGUUAAUACAAAACUAAUGGAGGAAGAUGUGAGACAACAUAAAAUAAUGAUUUUCCGUCAAGAUAUCACGCCUAAGCCUCUGGUAAAAACGUGCACACCGAAGCAAAGACCGAUUUGCUUAGAUCCAGACUGCGUAUGGUUCUGUCGUUUGGUUGGCAGCAUUGUCACAAUCGCUUUAUGCUACGCUUGUGCGUACGCUUUUAUAUCUGAUACGAAACUUAAAUUCGGAUUAUUUGUUCCGUAACACGCUUUUUGAAAUAAAAUUGCAAUCAAUAAAAA